UGGGUCUUGAUAGGCCCAAAGGCGUAAUGAAAGUGAAGGGCGGUUCGGCCGUCUGCCUUGGGAUCCCGCGGACCUCGCGUUCGCGGGCGCACCAAGGGCCCGUCCCGGUCGCCUCGUCGACGGGGCGGAGCAAGAGCGUACACGUUGGGACCCGAAAGAUGGUGAACUAUGCCUGGGCAGGACGAAGCCAGAGGAAACUCUGGUGGAGGUCCGCAGCGAUUCUGACGUGCAAAUCGAUCGUCAGACCUGGGUAGGGGCGAAAGACUAAUCGAACCAUCUAGUAGCUGGUUCCCUCCGAAGUUUCCCUCAGGAUAGCUGGCGCUCGGAGGAUGCAGUCUCAUCCGGUAAAGCGAAUGAUUAGAGGCCUUGGGGUCGAAAAGACCUCAACCUAUUCUCAAACUUUAAAUGGGUGAGAAGUCCGGUUUGCUCGACUGAAGCCCGGACGGCAACUUGGAUGCGAGUGCCAAGUGGGCCACUUUUGGUAAGCAGAACUGGCGCUGUGGGAUGAACCAAACGCCGGGUUAAGGGGCCCGAUGCGAGACGCUCAUGAGAUCCCAUGAAAGGUGUUGGUUGCUAUAGACAGCAGGACGGUGGCCAUGGAAGUCGGAAUCCGCUAAGGAGUGUGUAACAACUCACCUGCCGAAGCAACUAGCCCUGAAAAUGGAUGGCGCUUCAGCGUCGACCCAUACCCGGCCGCCGCGGCCGAAAAGCCUCGUGUUUUAAGCCGCGGUGAGUAGGAGGGGCGCGGAGGCGAGCGUCGAAGGUGCCGGGCGUAAGCCCGCCUGGAGCCGCCUCCGGCGCAGAUCUUGGUGGUAGUAGCAAAUACUCAAGUGAGAACCUUGAGGACUGAGGUGGAGAAGGGUUCCAUGUGAACAGCAGUUGAACAUGGGUCAGUCGGUCCUAAGGGAUAGGAGAAAUCCGUUCCGAGGCGGGACCUAAUUUAUUAUGAAAGUCCCGCUGAUGACCGAAAGGGAAUCGGGUUAAUAUUCCCGAACCCGGACGCGGAGAUCGUCCUCUUCGGAGGUACAUUGCGGUAACGCAAACGAGCUCGGAGACGUCGACGGGAGCACCGGGAAGAGUUAUCUUUUCUUUGUAAGGAUUCGACUCCCUGGAAUCGGCUCGCCCGGAGAUAGGGAUGGUGUUUCCGUAAAGCACCGCGCCUCUCACGGUGUCCGGAUCGCUCCCGUCGGCCCCUGAAAAUCCGAGUGAGAGAUAGUGAUUUUCGUGCCGGACCGUAUCCAUAUCC
rnacentral:rRNA from 1 species